rnacentral:lncRNA from 1 species
AGAAAAUUUAAAUGUGGAGAAGAUCUCAGCAAGCCAGUUGGUACCUCUCUUCCUUUGAUACGAUCAUUUCCUGUCAAAGAUUUGGCCUUGCUCAUUCAUUAGACAAAGAAUUUGGACUCCUUUCUGGAGACGGAGAUUUACCUUCCUUGGAAGUGAGCGGAAAUCCUGAAUUCCGAUUGUAAUGUUAAAAAACAUCGUCUCUCCCUGUUAUCUGGGAGUACAUGCCAAUGUAAACAGUCUUCAUAACAUGACUUAUUAGCUUCGCUGUAUCUGGGAACACAUGACGUAACCAGUGUCCCCAUGACAUACGUUUCCCCUCACUGGGACUGGUGAUCAAUCGGCCUGUUCUGAGAUACUCCCUUGUUUCUCCUUGAGACCCAGUGUCCAUCCAUGUGAGAUGGUUGG